GAAGCCUCAAGGCUAAUUAUUGAUCUCUAUUCAAAACCUCAUGGAGUUCCCCCCAUCCACUUCCUAAGUUGCGAACCCCAUGGGUGAUGACCAAGAACCCAGAAAUUUCAUUCCAUUCUCUCAUGCACUCCACAUACCUUGAACCCCUAAGACAAGAACUCCGUCUCCUUGCUGUCGGCUGAAGGUACACCUCCAGGAGGGGAGGCGCUAAUUUUGCGGUCUUUCUUGUUGUCGUUGCUCUGUGUGAUUUGAUGGAGUGCUCACUGCAUGAAGCUCGAAAUCCAGAGUUUCCUCAUCGUCUUUCUGCCUCUCUUAUGUUCAGCCGAAGACCUUCAUUCAAAGAGGUAAAGCAAUUUCCUCCCCUUGUUCAACGCGAAUUAAACCAGUUCUGAUUAAGUUUUGUUUCGUUCCACUGCAUGCCCAUGACUCGGCUGUGGUUGAGUCUCUCUUUCCCUUGUAUAUAAUUGGAAUCGGUCCCUUGGAGCAGUGGAUGAAGGAAGUUGUUGUCCAUGAGUGAAAGUUAGUUGUGUAUUCUUGAAAAGAGGUGUGAAAAAUCGUUGAGACGUUGGACUGUUUCGUUGUGAAUCGGUAAAGUAAAUUCCGACUACGAGGAGGACGUAAAAGCUUUUGAGGACUUGGAUAUUUGCUGUUGGCUUCCACUGUUUGGGCAUGCUGCUAUUGAUGUGAUAUUUUAUGGAUGACUGUAUGAAAUUGAGAAGCUUUUAUUACUGUGAACUAUGAUUUUAUUAUUGCAUUACGAUUUUAUGACCAGCAAGUAUUUUGGAAACAGAUGUUGAAACGUUUGCGAAAAGGAU